UACGUAGGGUGCAAGCGUUGUCCGGAAUUACUGGGCGUAAAGGGUUCGUAGGUGGUGCGGCAAGUUGGAAGUGAAAUCUCUGGGCUUAACCCAGAGGCUGCUUUCAAAACUGCCGCGCUCGAGUGCGAGAGAGGUCAGUGGAAUUGCAGGUGUAGCGGUGAAAUGCGUAGAUAUCUGCAGGAACACCCGUGGCGAAGGCGGCUGACUGGAUCGCAACUGACACUGAGGAACGAAAGCUAGGGGAGCAAAAGGG
rnacentral:rRNA from 1 species